GCCAGGCACGGUUGCAUGUGCCUGUAGUCCCAGCUACACAGGAGGCCGAGGCAGCAGGAUUCCUUGAGCCCAGGAGUUGAGUCCUGGGCUGUAGUGCACUGUGCUGAUCGAAUUGUCUGCACGAAUUUUGACAUCAAUAUAGUGACCUCUUGGAAGUGGGACCACCAGGUUGUCUAAGGAAGGGUGAACUAGCCCAAGGCAGAAACGAAGUGGGUCAAAACUCCCAUGAUGAUCAGUAGUGAGAUCACACCUGUGAAUAGCCACUACACUGUAGCCUGGGCAACAUAGUGAGACCCCACCUCU
rnacentral:SRP_RNA from 1 species